rnacentral:rRNA from 1 species
CCUGGCUCAGGAUGAACGCUAGCUACAGGCUUAACACAUGCAAGUCGAGGGGCAGCAUGGUCUUAGCUUGCUAAGGCCGAUGGCGACCGGCGCACGGGUGAGUAACACGUAUCCAACCUGCCGUCUACUCUUGGACAGCCUUCUGAAAGGAAGAUUAAUACAAGAUGGCAUCAUGAGUCCGCAUGUUCACAUGAUUAAAGGUAUUCCGGUAGACGAUGGGGAUGCGUUCCAUUAGAUAGUAGGCGGGGUAACGGCCCACCUAGUCUUCGAUGGAUAGGGGUUCUGAGAGGAAGGUCCCCCACAUUGGAACUGAGACACGGUCCAAACUCCUACGGGAGGCAGCAGUGAGGAAUAUUGGUCAAUGGGCGAGAGCCUGAACCAGCCAAGUAGCGUGAAGGAUGACUGCCCUAUGGGUUGUAAACUUCUUUUAUAAAGGAAUAAAGUCGGGUAUGGAUACCCGUUUGCAUGUACUUUAUGAAUAAGGAUCGGCUAACUCCGUGCCAGCAGCCGCGGUAAUACGGAGGAUCCGAGCGUUAUCCGGAUUUAUUGGGUUUAAAGGGAGCGUAGAUGGAUGUUUAAGUCAGUUGUGAAAGUUUGCGGCUCAACCGUAAAAUUGCAGUUGAUACUGGAUAUCUUGAGUGCAGUUGAGGCAGGCGGAAUUCGUGGUGUAGCGGUGAAAUGCUUAGAUAUCACGAAGAACUCCGAUUGCGAAGGCAGCCUGCUAAGCUGCAACUGACAUUGAGGCUCGAAAGUGUGGGUAUCAAACAGGAUUAGAUACCCUGGUAGUCCACACGGUAAACGAUGAAUACUCGCUGUUUGCGAUAUACUGCAAGCGGCCAAGCGAAAGCGUUAAGUAUUCCACCUGGGGAGUACGCCGGCAACGGUGAAACUCAAAGGAAUUGACGGGGGCCCGCACAAGCGGAGGAACAUGUGGUUUAAUUCGAUGAUACGCGAGGAACCUUACCCGGGCUUAAAUUGCAGAUGAAUUACGGUGAAAGCCGUAAGCCGCAAGGCAUCUGUGAAGGUGCUGCAUGGUUGUCGUCAGCUCGUGCCGUGAGGUGUCGGCUUAAGUGCCAUAACGAGCGCAACCCUUGUUGUCAGUUACUAACAGGUUCCGCUGAGGACUCUGACAAGACUGCCAUCGUAAGAUGUGAGGAAGGUGGGGAUGACGUCAAAUCAGCACGGCCCUUACGUCCGGGGCUACACACGUGUUACAAUGGGGGGUACAGAGGGCCGCUACCACGCGAGUGGAUGCCAAUCCCCAAAACCUCUCUCAGUUCGGACUGGAGUCUGCAACCCGACUCCACGAAGCUGGAUUCGCUAGUAAUCGCGCAUCAGCCACGGCGCGGUGAAUACGUUCCAGGGCCUUGUACACACCGCCC